rnacentral:rRNA from 1 species
UGAGGAAUAUUGCGCAAUGGGGGCAACCCUGACGCAGCAACGCCGCGUGAGUGAGGAAGGUUUUCGGACCGUAAAGCUCUGUCGAGCGGGAAGAAAUGUGUCGUGGCUAAUAUCCAUGAUACUUGACGGUACCGCUAAAGGAAGCACCGGCUAACUCCGUGCCAGCAGCCGCGGUAAUACGGGGGGUGCAAGCGUUGUUCGGAAUUAUUGGGCGUAAAGAGCGUGUAGGCGGCUGAAUAAGUCAGAUGUGAAAUCCCUGGGCUUAACUCAGGAAGUGCAUUUGAAACUAUUCAGCUCGAGUAGGGGAGAGGAAAGUGGAAUUCCUGGUGUAGAGGUGAAAUUCGUAGAUAUUGGGAGGAACACCAGUGGCGAAGGCGCCUUUCUGGACUGUGUCUGACACUGAGAUGCGAAAGCUAGGGGAGCGAACG